UCGUCGUAAAUGCAGAAGACAAGAGAUUGGAAAGAGCGGUACUUCCCACACUACAGUUAUCACACACUACUCAGUCCAUUAAUUUGCUUUCUGGUUCAAGAGAGGUUCGAGGUGGAUAUAAAGGAGUUUCUUGAGCAAAUUGAUACCUCUUCAUACACUCAUAGAGAAAGCACUUGAAGAAUGUGGAGAUGACUUGGAUUCGGCAAUUAGAAGUUUGACUGAACUUUGUUUGGGAUCUGCUGAUAGAAAUUUGGGUACCGUGGCUGGCAGACCUGAAAUAUCUAUGGAGGCAAAUGCUCAACUUCAAGCAUAAGGUUGCAACUGACAAACACAUUAUGGCAUUGCUCUUCCUAAAUAUCAUUGGAGUUAUAGCCAUUAUUAUUGUGAUG